UACGUAGGGAGCAAGCGUUGUCCGGAAUCAUUGGGCGUAAAGCGCGCGUAGGCGGCCUCAUAAGUCCGUUGUGAAAGUCAAAGGCUCAACCCUUUGAAAGCCGAUGGAUACUGUGAGGCUAGAGUCCGGAAGAGGCGAGUGGAAUUCCUGGUGUAGCGGUGGAAUGCGCAGAUAUCAGGAGGAACACCAAUAGCGAAGGCAGCUCGCUGGGACGGUACUGACGCUAAGGCGCGAAAGCGUGGGGAGCGAACAGG
rnacentral:rRNA from 1 species